AUUGAACGCUGGCGGCAGGCCUAACACAUGCAAGUCGAACGGUAACAGGAAGCAGCUUGCUGCUUCGCUGACGAGUGGCGGACGGGUGAGUAAUGUCUGGGAAGCUGCCUGAUGGAGGGGGAUAACUACUGGAAACGGUAGCUAAUACCGCAUAAUGUCGCAAGACCAAAGAGGGGGACCUUCGGGCCUCUUGCCAUCGGAUGUGCCCAGAUGGGAUUAGCUUGUUGGUGGGGUAACGGCUCACCAAGGCGACGAUCCCUAGCUGGUCUGAGAGGAUGACCAGCCACACUGGGACUGAGACACGGUCCAGACCCCUACGGGAGGCAGCAGUGGGGAAUAUUGCACAAUGGGCGCAAGCCUGAUGCAGCCAUGCCGCGUGUAUGAAGAAGGCCUUCGGGUUGUAAAGUACUUUCAGCGGGGAGGAAGGGAGUAAAGUUAAUACCUUUGCUCAUUGACGUUACCCGCAGAAGAAGCACCGGCUAACUCCGUG
rnacentral:rRNA from 1 species